rnacentral:rRNA from 1 species
CAAAGGAAUUGGACGGGGAGCACCACAACGGGUGGAGCUUGCGGUUUUAAUUGGAUUCAACGCCGGAAUCUUACCGGGACCGACAGCAAUAUGAAGGCCAGGCUGAAGACUUUGCCGGAUUAGCUGAGAGGUGGUGCAUGGCCGUCGUCAGUUCGUACUGUGAAGCAUCCUGUUAAGUCAGGCAACGAGCGAGACCCACGCCCACAGUUGCCAGCGUACUCUCUGGAGUGACGGGUACACUGUGGGACCGCCGCUGCUAAAGCGGAGGAAGGAAUGGGCAACGGUAGGUCAGUAUGCCCCGAAUAUCCCGGGCUACACGCGAGCUACAAUGGUUGGUACAAUGGGUAUCUACCCGAAAGGGGACGGGAAUCUCCUAAAACCAAUCUUAGUUCGGAUUGAGGGCUGCAACUCGCCCUCAUGAAGCUGGAAUCCGUAGUAAUCGCGUUUCAACAGAACGCGGUGAAUACGUCCCUGCUCCUU